rnacentral:rRNA from 1 species
AUUGAACGCUGGCGGCAGGCUUAACACAUGCAAGUCGAGCGGGGUGAUGGUGCUUGCACUAUCACUUAGCGGCGGACGGGUGAGUAAUGCUUAGGAAUCUGCCUAUUAGUGGGGGACAACAUCUCGAAAGGGAUGCUAAUACUGCAUACGUCCUACGGGAGAAAGCAGGGGAUCACUUGUGACCUUGCGCUAAUAGAUGAGCCUAAGACGGAUUAGCAAGUUGGUGGGGUAAAGGCCUACCAAGGCGACGAUCUGUAGCGGGUCUGAGAGUAUGAUCCGCCACACUGGGACUGAGACACGGCCCAGACUCCUACGGGAGGCAGCAGUGGGGAAUAUUGGACAAUGGGGGGAACCCUGAUCCAGCCAUGCCGCGUGUGUGAAGAAGGCCUUAUGGUUGUAAAGCACUUUAAGCGAGGAGGAGGCUCUUUUGGUUAAUACCCAAGAUGAGUGGACGUUACUCGCAGAAUAAGCACCGGCUAACUCUGUGCCAGCCGCCGCAGUAA